GGGGGGGGGUGUAAAAUGGAGGCGCAUAGUGGAGAGGAGAGAAAACGAACGCAGGGCUCGAACGUGUUGCAUCAGCGACAAGCAGACGCGUGUGUAUGGACGCGCUCGGGGGCUUUUUUUUCAUUCCAUCCGGACCAAUUUGGAGCGUUCGGUCGAGCAUGCAGAGGUUUAUGUCACAACACAGACACUCAUCCAAGAAUAGCCAUUCUGGAAGAAAAGAUGAGCUAUCCAAAAAAAACGCGUCUGUGAGCUGCUGCUGAAAUGCUCUAACUGCAUGUGAUGACGUGAGAGCUUCAAUUGGGCCA